rnacentral:rRNA from 1 species
AUUGAACGCUGGCGGCAUGCCUUACACAUGCAAGUCGAACGGUAACAGGUUAAGCUGACGAGUGGCGAACGGGUGAGUAAUGUCUCGGAACGUGCCCAGUCGUGGGGGAUAACUGCUCGAAAGAGCAGCUAAUACCGCAUACGACCUGAGGGUGAAAGCGGGGGAUCGCAAGACCUCGCGCGAUUGGAGCGGCCGAUAUCAGAGUAGGUAGUUGGUGAGGUAAAGGCUCACCAAGCCGACGAUCUGUAGCUGGUCUGAGAGGACGACCAGCCACACUGGGACUGAGACACGGCCCAGACUCCUACGGGAGGCAGCAGUGGGGAAUUUUGGACAAUGGGCGCAAGCCUGAUCCAGCCAUGCCGCGUGCGGGAAGAAGGCCUUCGGGUUGUAAACCGCUUUUGUCAGGGAAGAAAAGGUUCUGGCUAAUACCUGGGACUCAUGACGGUACCUGAAGAAUAAGCACCGGCUAACUCCGUGCCAGCCGCCGCCGUAAAAC